CUUGCUCCUUUGACGUUAGCGGCGGACGGGUGAGUAACACGUGGGUAACCUACCUAUAAGACUGGGAUAACUUCGGGAAACCGGAGCUAAUACCGGAUAAUAUUUCGAACCGCAUGGUUCGAUAGUGAAAGGUGGUUUUGCUAUCACUUAUAGAUGGACCCGCGCCGUAUUAGCUAGUUGGUAAGGUAACGGCUUACCAAGGCGACGAUACGUAGCCGACCUGAGAGGGUGAUCGGCCACACUGGAACUGAGACACGGUCCAGACUCCUACGGGAGGCAGGC
rnacentral:rRNA from 1 species